UACGUAGGGUCCGAGCGUUGUCCGGAAUUAUUGGGCGUAAAGGGCUCGUAGGCGGUUUGUCGCGUCGGGAGUGAAAACACGGGGCUUAACCCCGUGCCUGCUUCCGAUACGGGCAGACUAGAGGUAUGCAGGGGAGAACGGAAUUCCUGGUGUAGCGGUGAAAUGCGCAGAUAUCAGGAGGAACACCCGUGGCGAAGGCGGCUCUCUGGGACGGUACUGACGCUGAGACGCGAAAGCGUGGGGAGCGAACAGG
rnacentral:rRNA from 1 species